CGAUAGACUUAUUGAAUAUAUAAUGGAAUAUAUAUUUGGAUUUCGAUUUCUAGAAUUGAAUCAUUGAAUCAUUUGUGUAUGUGUGUGUGAGUGAGUGUGUGGGUGUAUGAGUGUGAGUGUGUAUUCGACCUAAAUCAGAGUCACUUAUAACACUAAGAAGCAGUCAUUUAUUCUCCAUUUAAAUUUACGUUGUGUCGUCACGUUUUUGUUUUUCUUGAAUCCUGAAACAGAUUUCAAUUACUGUACAAAGUUUUGGGCGCUUAAACCAUAGGCCAUGGGUUCUCUAUAUAAUUUAUACAUACUACAUACGUAUAUGUAUGUAUAUAUGUAUUUGUCUACGUCUACGUUUAUGU
rnacentral:lncRNA from 1 species